rnacentral:rRNA from 1 species
AGUGAACGCUGGCGGUAGGCCUAACACAUGCAAGUCGAACGGCAGCACAGUAAGAGCUUGCUCUUACGGGUGGCGAGUAGCGGACGGGUGAGGAAUACAUCGGAAUCUACUUUUUCGUGGGGGAUAGCGUAGGGAAACUUACGCUAAUACCGCAUACGACCUACGGGUGAAAGCAGGGGAUCUUCGGACCUUGCGCGAAUGAAUGAGCCGAUGUCGGAUUAGCUAGUUGGCGGGGUAAAGGCCCACCAAGGCGACGAUCCGUAGCUGGUCUGAGAGGAUGAUCAGCCACACUGGAACUGAGACACGGUCCAGACUCCUACGGGAGGCAGCAGUGGGGAAUAUUGGACAAUGGGCGCAAGCCUGAUCCAGCCAUACCGCGUGGGUGAAGAAGGCCUUCGGGUUGUAAAGCCCUUUUGUUGGGAAAGAAAAGCAGCAGGUUAAUACCCCGCUGUUCUGACGGUACCCAAAGAAUAAGCACCGGCUAACUUCGUG